UCAUAAUGGCCGAAAAUCUAAGGUUUCAUGGGGAAGGUUCGUCCGCCCAAGGUAAGCCGGGAGCUAAGGCGAGGCCGAAAGGCGUAGUCGAUGCACAUACGGUUGAAAUUCCGUAGCCGCCGAAAUUGUUAAGCACAGGGACACAUAGAGAUAUCCGAACCCGGGCGUUGGUUGACCCGGGCGCAAGGGACCGAACAUCAGUAGGGAAGUCGGAGAUGCUCUGUGGCGAGAAAAGCUGUGUGAACUGAUUAGGCGCCCGUACCGCAAACCGACACAGGUAGAUGAGGAGAGAAUCCUAAGGCCAACGGGAGAAGGGUUGUUAAGGAACUCGGCAAAUUGACCCCGUAACUUCGGGAUAAGGGGAGCCUCCUACGGGAGGCCGCAGUGAAUAGGCCCAAGCAACUGUUUACCAAAAACACAGGUCUCUGCUAAAUCGAAAGAUGACGUAUAGGGGCUGACGCCUGCCCGGUGCCGGAAGGUUAAGAGGAGAGCUUAGCGCAAGCGAAGGUUCGAAUUGAAGCCCCGGUAAACGGCGGCCGUAACUAUAACGGUCCUAAGGUAGCGAAAUUCCUUGUCAGGUAAGUUCUGACCCGCACGAAUGGCGUAAUGAUUUGGGCACUGUCUCAACAGCCCGCCCGGCGAAAUUGUAGUACUGGUGAAGAUGCCAGUUACCCGCAACUAGACGGAAAGACCCCAUGGAGCUUUACUGUAGCCUAAUACUGAAGAUCGGUAAUGCAUGUACAGGAUAGGUGGGAGCCAGCGGAACCCGGGCGUCAGCUCGGAUGGAGGCAACCUUGGAAUACCACCCUUGUAUUGCUGGUUUUCUAACCUGCGGCCAUGAAUCUGGUCGGGGGACACUGUUAGGUGGGCAGUUUGACUGGGGCGGUCGCCUCCAAAAGCGUAACGGAGGCGCUCAAAGGUUGGCUCAGCACGGACGGAAAUCGUGCAUAGAGUGCAAACGCAUAAGCCAACUUGACUGCGAGACCGACGGGUCGAGCAGGUACGAAAGUAGGAGUUAGUGAUCCGGUGGUAUGUGAGUGGAAAUGCCAUCGCUCAACGGAUAAAAGCUACCCUGGGGAUAACAGGCUGAUCUCCCCCAAGCGUCCACAGCGACGGGGAGGUUUGGCACCUCGAUGUCGGCUCGUCACAUCCUGGGGCUGUAUUCGGUCCCAAGGGUUCGGCUGUUCGCCGAUUAAAGUGGCACGCGAGCUGGGUUCAGAACGUCGUGAGACAGUUCGGUCCCUAUCUGUUGCGGGCGCAGGAGAUUUGAAGGGAGCUGUCCUUAGUACGAGAGGACCGGGAUGGACAGACCUCUGGUGCACCAGUUGUCGUGCCAACGGCACAGCUGGGUAGCUACGUCUGGACGAGAUAAACGCUGAAAGCAUCUAAGUGUGAAACUCCCCCUAAGAUAAGAUCUCCCAUCCAUUAGGAGUAAGGGACGACAAAGACUAUGUCGUUGACAGGUCGGAAGUGUAAGUGCAGUAAUGCAUUGAGCUGACCGGUACUAAUAACCCGAGGGCUUGACC
rnacentral:rRNA from 1 species